rnacentral:lncRNA from 1 species
GCCUGGGAGCCUCCAUAUGCCGCAGGCAUGGCCCUAAAAAGACACACACAAAAAAGAUGUAGACUUUUUGGAGAACCGACUCAUCUUACAAACAGUAGGCCUUCUCCAAAGCGCUUUCCUGUAAACUAUGUCCUGAUCUUCACGGGGGAGCCUUGCAUGAAUAGACACCCACGCCAUGUUGGUUGUGCUGAUUGGUUGAAAGCAAAUUGAGUGACAGCCCUGCGGAAAACCAGUGCUGCUGCUGGAUGAGCCCAGGCUCUGGAGGCCAACUCUUCUGCCGUCUGACUGCCAGCUCUGCCACCAACCGUGGCUUAAAGCAAAACUGCUUAAACCUCUGUUUCCUCUUGUAAAUUGGAGAGAACAAGGGCUCCUCUCUCCUGGGACAGUUGAUGACCAAGGGGAAGAGCUCAGGACAGAGUAAAGUGAGUGCUUUCAAAUAGCAGUAUCAUUAACCUCGUUUGACAGAGGAGCAGCGAGAACUAUGGGGAGGCCAAGUGGCAUGGUGGCAGGCACAUCUCUUUGAAGAACAUUUAAAGUGUUUGAAUGAUGACCACCAGAAGGUGCUGAUUACUAACUGAUUACUAUUCCUAGUCAGCCUCUUCCAGAUCAGUGGCAAGAUUACAUUUUCUUUUUUCUUUUUUUUUCUGUCUUUUUAGGGCCACACCCAUGGCAUAUGGAGGUUCUCAGGUUAGGGGUUGAAUCAGAGCUGCAGCUGUGGGCCUGUGCUACAGCCACAGCAACGCCAUAUCCAAGCUGCGUCUGUGACCUACACUGUAGCUCACGGCAAUGCCAGAUCCUUAACCCACUGAGCGAGGCCAGGGAUUGAACCUGUGUCAUCACGGAUGCUAGUCAGAUUUGUUUCUGCUGAGCCAUGACAGGAACUCCAAGAUUGCAUUUUCCUUUUGCCAACAUGACAGAAAGCACAUGAGUCACUAAGGUCUCUCCCAGGAUCUUGGAAGGGCCCAGAAGCUCAGUUUCAUCAGCUCCACGGUGAAGUUCCUGUAGUCCACGCUCUGCUUUAUCUGAACAUUUCUGUAUGUUCUCCCAAAGUUUGUCAUCUUUGGCACUUGGAAAGGCCUGUCAUUCCUGGGAAUUAUGACCGGCCAAACACCACAGGAAUGAAUGCUCUCCAUGGACAGGGUUGAUCACCACAGGGGCAUCAAAGUGUGUGUUCCCACAUCAAUUCCCAGUUAGUACCUCCCAUUGGGAGGGGACAGGGGGGUCCAGUGAGGCCAGGGGAGAUGCAAGACUCAGCCAAAGAUCUGAUCCCAGCUGCCUGGUGACCUGUGGCAAGGAGCAGGUGAGCAGGGGAAGAGGGGAGCCAGGGUAAUCUCCACCUGACCUGGGUGCGUCCAGCCUCAUUUACCUGUGAGCAUGAUGCUCUCUGUGCUCUGGUCCUUUCGCUUGUCUCCUGGCUGCUUGUCUCAUCCCCUGGGUCCGGUGGGAGUUCCAGAAGAUUUCCCCCUUUAACCCCACAGAACAGGAGGAAGGAACUCUCUCUGCUCGACCUAGCAGACAAGCAGGGCAUCUGGAGCCCUGGGCUAUGGUCGUGUGGGGCCUGGGCCCUGUUCUCCCUCCUCAGCCUCACAUUACGACACUGUUAAUGUUAUCACCAUCAGUUUUCUCAAGUUUUGGUAAAGAACUACAUACACAACAUAUAUGUAAGCAGUACUCCGGGACUGUCCACUGGUUACCUUCUUCACCCCUCACCUGGGUUAGGCCCUGAGCCGCUCACACCAGUCUGGUCUUUUGACAGAAAAUCUGGGAGUAUCACUGCUUUCCAUUUUGUCUAUAAAUCAUUCCAUGGGUUUAAUGGGCUGUAAAUUCUCCCCUAGGCUUUAAGGUCAUCAGAGUCAGAAAUAUACCCGAUUCAUCUCUCCCUCCUCGGUGCCUUCCUGGUGCACAGCGGGAACUCAGUGUUUUUGAAUGAAUAGAGAAAGACCUGGAGUUCCCAUUGUGGCUCAGUGGAAAUGAAUCUGACUAGUAUCCAUGAGGUUGCAGAUUGGAUCCCCGGCCAUGCUCAGUGGAUUAAGGAUCUGGCAUUGUCACGAGCUGUGAUGUAUGUUGUAGAUGCACCUCAGAUCCCGCAUUGUUGUGGCUGUGGUGUGGGCUGGUGGCUACAGCUCCAGUUCAACCCCUAGCCUGGGAACCUCCAUAUGCCACCAGUGCAGCCCUAAAAAGGCAAAAAAAAGACCAGAAAAAAGCCACCAUCGCCUGUGUGAUACUAAUUGUAGCUGCCAGCCAGUCCCAUACAGGGAUAGGCAAGACCCAGCACCCGAAGUCAGUGACAUAAGAAUUUGGAUGGGCCUCCAGGGAAGCAAGGUGAGCUCAGAGGGCAUGUCCAGGCCGUCCCUGCAUAGAGCAUCUCGGAAACAAUGCGGACACAGAGGUGGAAGCCAGAAUUAGGCUGGGGGAGGGGUUGUAGGGGGGCUUGUGGGGAGAGAACAGGUCUACAUCAUGACUGUGAUGGUGGCCCCGAGGCCGCAGAUGUGCACACACAAGGAGCCAGUGCUGGGCCUCCACACACACUCACUUUACAGCUUCCUGUGAAACUACUUACGUGAAAGUAAAACAUUUUUGAAGUCAACUGGCUGUCGAGACCACAUCAGGAGCCCAUUCCUCGGUGUCAAGAAGCCCUGGUGUGGCUUCCACUCCCUGUGCUGUGGUUUGGAGCCUGCGUAGGUUCAAGCUUGGGUGGCCAAGGAUAUGGAGCCUGAGAACAGGGUGUGGUGGGCUAGGGGUUCAGGUCCUUGCCAACAGGUCCAGGAGCCCCUGUGGCUCCGUAAUUUUCUCGGGGGAGAGCAAGGCCCUUCAGGUCCCAAGGCUCUCCCUCCAUGCCGCCCACCCAAGAAGUGUUCAACUGUGCAGGUCUCAUUGCCAAGGACUUGGAUUUUAUUCUGUGAUGAUGGAGAGCAUGGAUGGAUUUUAAGAUGGCGAGGCCCUUAAAAGAUUUGCUUUUCAGGAAGUGUGCAGGGACAUUCCGAAGUUGGACAGCCCUUUUGACAGUUGCCACCAGCCAGCAGGGCGAUGACGGGAAGGUAACCAGUGGACAUUCCUGGAGUGCUGCUUACAUAUAUGUGUAAGCAGGGCAAUAACGGGGCCUACUUGCAGUAGGGGCAGGGGAGGUGCUGGCCAGCCUUAAAUGGAGACCCCUGGGUGGGUGAUGAGGGAGCUGAGGAGGAUGGCCAGGCUGGGGGCAGUGAAAAAACAGCAGAGGAAAGGCAGGUCUGGGGAUGGAGAUAAACUACAUUGUACAGGCUGAUGUGAUGGCCACCGGCCAUAUCCACAUGUAGGAGAGGCAGGUGGACAUGGGGCAUGGCUCUCAGAGAGAGGCCGGCUAUAGCACACAGUCUGACUGCUUAGUGCUGGUCACAGGGCUCCUGGCUCUCACCUCCACAAAACUUUUAUCACCUGUGGUGAUUCCCAAAGUUGUUUGGUAUUCUAGGAUCCAGAAACCUGUUCUCUGCAUGCUUUUCACAGACUUGCCCCAUUCAUUGUUGCUUUGCUGGUCUACACAUGAGUGGGAGGACUUUCUAUGUAGAUAAGCCCUCUGAUAAUUUUUGAGCCGUGUGUUUAAUAUGCUGCAACCAGAGUUCAAAGUGCUGGAGGCACACUGUGUUCAGACCUGUGCUGUUAUACAGAGAACAAACAGAAGCAAGGCCAGGUCCCAGGGAAGUCACAAAUUGACUUUUAGAAAAAAACCAUCUCAGUUGGCUUGGUCCCAAUAUAACCAUACACUGGGUGGAGUCAAGACCACCUCACAGUUCUGGAGAUGAAGUCUACCAUCAGAGUGCUGCCAUUCGGUGUCUGGUUUGCAGACAGACACCGUCUGUCUUCGGUGUCUGGCUGCCUUCUUGCUGUAUCCUCACAUGAUGGACACAGGUCAUCUCCUGUCUCUUCAUAAGGAUACUAAUCUCACUCAUGAGGGCUCCACCCUCACGACCUAAUUACCCCCCAGUUACCAUCUCCAAAUACCAUCACAUUGAGGGUUAGGGCUUGAACACAGGAGUUUUAGGGGGAUUCAAACAUCUAGGCUACAGCAAAGCACAGUCUUUUCCUUUGAAUAUAUUCCCAUCAUUCUGUCAUUGUAAUGUAAUUCAGUGUCUUGACCCAUCACUUUCAUAGGAUCGUAUUCAUCUGUGUUCUCCCAUGGUCUUAAAACUUGGAGUCUGGGGUUAAUAGACGCAAACUAUUGCAUUUGGAGUGGAUAAGCAAUGAGAACCUGCUGUAUAGCACAGGGAAUUAUAUCCAUUCACUUGUAAUGGAAAAUGAUGGAGGAUAAUGUGAGAAAAAGAAUAUGUGACUAGGUCGCUUUGCUGUACAGUAGAAAUUGGCAGAACACUAAAUCAACAAUAAUGGGAAAAAUAAAAAUGAUAAAAAAACAAAGACCACUCAGUAAUAUAAAGGAAUGAACUACUGAUAGAUGCAUGGAUGAAUCUCAAAACAGUAACCAGUUACCUACUGAGAAUGGCAGGGGGAUGGAGGGUGUAGACAAGGACCACGAAGAGGCACAAAGAAUCAUCUGCUGACAAUGGCACUGUUCACUCUUUUUUUUAAUUUUUUAAAAAUUAAAAAAAAUUUUUAAUUGUAAUCGAUUUUUAUUUCCCCAAUACAUUUUUUUCCUACUGUAUAGCAUGGUGACCCAGUUACACAUACAUGUAUACAUUCUUUUUUUCUUUUUUAACUCUUGAUUACGAUUAUGCUUUCAUAGGUGAAUGUGUAUGGCAAAACUAAUCAAAUUAUAUACUUUAAAUAUAUGUGUAGUUCAUUGUAGGUCAAUUAUACCUAAAUAAAGCUAUUUU